AUUGAACGCUGGCGGCAGGCCUAACACAUGCAAGUCGAACGAGUGGCGGACGGGUGAGUAAUGUCUGGGAAACUGCCUGAUGGAGGGGGAUAACUACUGGAAACGGUAGCUAAUACCGCAUACCAUCGGAUGUGCCCAGAUGGGAUUAGCUAGUGGGGGGGGUAAAGGCUCACCUAGGCGACGAUCCCUAGCUGGUCUGAGAGGAGGACCAGCCACACUGGAACGUAGACAUGGUCCAGACUCCUACGUGAGGCAGCAGUGGGGAAGAUUGAACAAUGGGCGCAAGCCUGAUGCAGCCAUGCCGCGUGUAUGAAGAAGGCCUUCGGGUUGUAAAGUACUUUCAGCGGGGAGGCGUUACCCGCAGAAGAGGCACCGGCUAACUCCGUGCCAGCAGCCGCGGUAAUUC
rnacentral:rRNA from 1 species